rnacentral:rRNA from 1 species
GACGAACGCUGGCGGCGUGCUUAACACAUGCAAGUCGAACGAUGAAGCCGGAGCUUGCUCUGGUGAAUUAGUGGCGAACGGGUGAGUAACACGUGAGUAACCUGCCCUUGACUCUGGGAUAACUGCGGGAAACUGUAGCUAAUACCGGAUACGACCCUCGGAGGCAUCUCCUGGGGGUGGAAAGAAUUUCGGUCAAGGAUGGACUCGCGGCCUAUCAGCUAGUUGGUGAGGUAAAGGCUCACCAAGGCGACGACGGGUAGCCGGCCUGAGAGGGUGACCGGCCACACUGGGACUGAGGCACGGCCCAGACUCCUACGGGAGGCAGCAGUGGGGAAUAUUGCACAAUGGGCGCAAGCCUGAUGCAGCAACGCCGCGUGAGGGAUGACGGCCUUCGGGUUGUAAACCUCUUUUAGUAGGGAAGAAGCGAAAGUGACUGUACCUGCAGAAAAAGCACCGGCUAACUACGUGCCAGCAGCCGCGGUAA